rnacentral:rRNA from 1 species
UACUGGGGGGGCGAGCGUUGUUCGGAAUUAUUGGGCGUAAAGGGCGCGUAGGCGGUGCGGUAAGUCACCUGUGAAAUCUCCGGGCUCAACUCGGAGCCUGCAGGCGAAACUGCCGUGCUAGAGGGUGGGAGAGGUGCGUGGAAUUCCCGGUGUAGCGGUGGAAUGCGUAGAUAUCGGGAGGAAGACCCGUGGCGAAAGCGGCGCACUGGACCACAUCUGACGCUGAGGCGCGAGAGCUAGGGGAGCAAACAGG